CCGUGGGCCUCUGCCUGCCUCUAAUUCUACAAUUCAUGUUGAGAAGGCACUUUAAUGUCAUGUGAGAUCAUGGCCUCUUAGACCACAUUGCCUGGGAUUUAACAGUGGUUCUUCUAUUUUCUCUGAGACUUUGGAUCAAGAUAAAGCACAUUUCCACCCCUUCAUUAUGUUGUUUGUGUUCCCUCCCAGUCAAUCCUCCUGCCCCAGAUGAGGCAAUAAGGAACCAUAUUUGAACAGAGAUGGCUGAGCAAGUUGAGCAAGAAGGUAAAGCAUAGUUGUUUUAAAUGAGCAAUGUUUACAGUGAGAAGCAGCAUGAUAUAGCAUGGUGUCAAAAAACUUAUACUCUAGAGACAAAAAAGGUUGAGUGCAACUGAGUGCAAGAUCAGACUUAACUUCAGACAAGUGACUGUGUCUGUCCGAGUCUCAGUUUCCCUGGAACAUGUUUGAUCUUCACCAUUUGUUAAUAAAACUGAAAUGUAUGAAAAUCCUUCCAUAUGUAUUUCCUGGCAUCAACCAUUGAAUAAAAUAGACCUAGUUCCAUUCUUUGUGGAACUUACAUGAUAGGGGAGACAGACAGUACCAAAUAAUUAGAUACUUAUUUAGUAACUAAAGUGCUAUGAAGAAAUACUUGGGGCUCUCAACUAUUAUAAUGGGGGAUUUAACCAGGUCUGAGAGCAGAAGUGUGAUCAGGAAGAAUUUCCUUAAAGAAGUGGUGUUUGAGCUGAGAUUUAAGUAGGGGGACAAGUUUAUUAGUGGAAAAUGGUAAGCACUGGACUAGGGAUCUUUCAAAGGAGGAAGAACUGUUCUCACUGUCCUGGGGUAGUAGGUGCUCUACACAUUAAGGGAUUCUAAGUAGCUGGAGUGUGAAGUAAGAACAGUAAAGUCCUGUAAUAACAUUAGAAAGUAAUUUGGAUUGAUAUUACAGGGUUUUGUAGGCCUUUUAAGAUUAGGGUCUCUUUUUAUUUAAAGAGAAAGAAAAAGAGAGAGAGAGACAGACAGAGAGGCAAUGUUCCCAUGUGCUUGUUCAAUCUUCAAGUGUUCCCAAUGAUGGAGUUUGGUCUAGGCUGAAGCUAGGAGCUGAGAACCUAACUCAGGUUUCCCAUAUAGGUGGCAGAAACUCAACUGCUUGAGUCCUUACCUGCUACCUCCCAGGGUGUGCAUUAGCAAAAAGCUGGAACUGAAAGUGGAGCUGGGACACCAAACCAAGCAUCCCAACCAGUAGGCCAAAUGUCCAUCCCAUAAGGUAUGAGUCCUAAUCCUAUGUUUAACAGGGAGACAUUCAGUAAAGUGCCCAGAUUUGCAUUUUUAAACCAUGGAGGGCUGGAAAUAGAUAGUAGACCUUCAUAUAUCUGGACAUUUAACCCUUUUAGUAUACAAUUUUUUUUCCUGGUAUAUACCAACAUAAUAGAGAGCAAUAUACUCCCAUCCAUUAUUAAAAAGGUAAGAGUUAUAAAGAUGUAUCAUGAACUUAGCCCAAUUCAGAUGGGAUUUUAUCUGUUAAAUUGUUUCCUGAGUUUCCUUUGUAAUUAUGAGUCUAAUUCUGGAAUUUAGCUCAGAACACAUGACAGAAUAUCUUGUGUCCACUUCAGUGAGUGUGUGUGAAAAUUAAGAUCUUAUAACAGUAACUGAUAGCUCUUUCCCUUUUCUUCUUUACUGAGGAAGACUGUUUCCCAUGAUUUCACCCUACUUCCAUCCUAAGUGUCCUGAAUGUCCAUAAUAUUUCAGAUACCUCCAAGCCUUCAAGAUGUACCUGAUAUAAACAGGAUGUAACCCCACAACUUGCUUAAGGAACCUGAAGGAGAGGUCUAUUGUAAUCUUUGAUAUGCUUAAAAAUAAUGUCCUAUAUUGCUUAUUGGGCAAAUAUUUACAAUUAUGCAUACAAUUAUAUUUCCUGGUAAAGAUAAAUCAUCUUCUUUAUCUAUAUAGUUUCUAUAAUUAUUUAAAAUUACUUAUUUUCCAUAUUUAUUGAAACCUAAUUCUUAGUCACUUUCUCCCACUGUAUUUUAUUUUCAGUGUUAAUUGAACAGACUUUUUAGAUCUUUUUAUUCCUCAUUAAUGAUGAAAAGGUAAAAUUUAAACCAAUCCUAUCAAUUAGAAUAGUAAUCACUAAAACUAUUGACUACUAUUUCCCAUACCAGGUACUGUUUUAAUUUAAAUAAUCCUCACAAUAACCCAAUCAGGUAGGUAUUCCUAUUAUCUUCACUUCCCACUUGAGGAAAACUGAGGCUCAGGGUGGAUAUAAUCUUGGGCCAGUGUCACAAGCUUAUACAUGACAAAACUAGGACUAAAAUCCAGACAAUGUGGCUUCUGAGUCAUAGUAACCAUCAUCUCACAAUUGACUUCUCAACCACCAGUACAAAUGCUGAUGUAGCUUUAAUGAUUGGAAUAAAAGGGAAUCAAUCAGGCUCUCACAUUUGACCUAAUUUUUAAGAGAACAUCUGCAUCACAUUUUGGAGUAUCUGGUUUUGUAUCCUGGCUCUG